CAGAUAAAAGGAACAAAAGGAUGAUGAAGAAGCCAGCAAUAAACCAUGGAAGAAAAGAAUACUUCACGAAACUCCAUCCACUGACUCACUGGUCACUCUCAAACUUCAACCAGAUGGAUGUCACACGUAUGAAUUCUCAACAAUAUGACUGCCUACGAAGAUCAUACCAGAUCACACAAUGACCUUUGAUGAAGUUGGAUGUAUGUAGAGACUGUCAUGACAGCAGGAGACUGCCCAUCUGAUAUUCUCAGCAAAGAAUUUCCUAGAGGAAAGCUAUCAAUCCUAGAGACCACAAAGGCGCCUUCAGUAAGCUCCCAUUCAGCAGUUCAAACCUGAAAUGAAGACAAUGAAGGAAGACUGCAGGGAUUAAGGAAACUUGGCAGAC